CGGGCCGCGCGCAUUCCCCUCUUCCAGAGGGGCCUCUUUAACGGCUCCCCAUGAAAUAAUCAUUCAUUAUGUCACCAGGAGGGAAGAAAGGGAGUAUUUUGUGAAGCCGUCCCAUUCAAAGCCACCCCCAGAGGCCGGGAGGAGACCACAAAGCUGAGAACACAGCCGGGACCUGCCCACUGACACACUGAAGACUCAACACGAUUCAGGAUCCUCUAAACUAUGUAAAACAAAACAGAGGAGAGAAAAUGUUAACAUGAUUAUCUCUGGGAGGAAAAAAGAGAUGGACCCUCCGCCUCACAGUUUUGAAAACACCAGCAGCAGUUAUCCUGCUGCUCCUUGCUAGAGA
rnacentral:lncRNA from 1 species